UCGGGAGGGGCUUGCUCUUUCUUUCUUUUCAAUCUCUUCAGGAUCUGCCUACAAAAGAGAUCACGUGUGACUUUCCGCGGGAGUUCAGAGGGUGGUGCCACGCAUGCGCAGAACUUCCCGCGGAGAACCACCACCUCAGACACGCUGAAGGAGCGUCCUUGUUGUGGCCUAGGGUGGCACUGCCCGCGGGGGCACAGAAGAGAGUUUGUGUUACACGGCCGGCCGUGUAGCGGGGUUAACAUUAGACGAGAGGCUGGUGGUCAGCCCUAAGAUCAGUAACCAGUGGAAGUCUUGGCUCCCCGGAGGCUGCCUGGAUCCAGUUAAUGAGACUUCCGGGGCUGAACAGCGCAGACAACCGGAGUGGCUCCAGUAGCAGUAGCAAACUUCAUUUCAGCGCAGCCCACAGGCCAGUUUUUCUGGAGGAUACAACAGUGACACCAGCCAGGUUUUCAGUGGCAAAAAUGCCACAAGCUGUCAGCCGAGGCUUCUUUCAGCUUCUCUUCAGAUUUAUGCCGUAGUGCCAUCAUUUUUCCUUUUGCAGAUGGAUGGUCCAUUGGGAAACAAGGUUGGUGCCACCUAAGUGGGCUCCUCUGCAAGGAAUUAGAGGAUAUUCUCCUUUAUUUGCAUCAAGGGCUCUGGAUAUCGUGCGUUUCCUUUUAAGUUACCGCAGAAAACCAGAACAAUGCCAUGUGGACCCCCUCUGUGGGUAGUGCAGGAAAAACCCGUUUUUAUAAACAUCUCUUAGUUUUCACCUGGCAACUCUCCAACUGAUUGAAGACUUAGACUGUACUUAUUCCUAUAUUCUCCGGCCAAGGCGCUUCAACCACGCACUGUAAUGUCGACUCCACAGCGCCCCAGCUACUUUCCUGUGGACGCGUUCCACUGGCCAAUACCCCUCACGAAGUGCCGCUUCUGCAGAUGGACGCGAUAUUACAGGUUAACCCAAAGAAAGACUGCAAUUCCCUUUCUAGAACUACAGAUCAACUUGGAAGCUUUGGAUCCUUUCCCUCCAAUGUGCCUACAGUUGAAAAAGGAAAAUCAUAGCAUCUGGUAUCUGUAUGGCCACCAAGAGUAUAAAUAUAAAGUUCCAUGAGAUUUGGUUUGCCAAAUCUGAAAGGCUUAUCAAAGUCUACUUUCCUUGAAAGCUUUCCUCCUCUCCAAAUAAAUCCCUUAUUAGAAAACAA